ensembl:snoRNA LOC120094001 small nucleolar RNA SNORA17
AUUAUUUUUAGAGGCAUUGCAGGUGUGGCAGAGGGGUGCAUGAGCCAUAGCAGGUGGCAGAGGGGAGAGAGGCUACGCCUAUGUUCUGUGUUCUGACCUGUGAACGCCUGAAUGAUUAGUAGCCUAAUAGU